UACGUAGGGUGCAAGCGUUAAUCGGAAUUACUGGGCGUAAAGCGUGCGCAGGCGGUUUUGUAAGUCUGUCGUGAAAGCCCCGGGCUUAACCUGGGAAUUGCGAUGGAGACUGCAAGGCUUGAAUCUGGCAGAGGGGGGUAGAAUUCCACGUGUAGCAGUGAAAUGCGUAGAGAUGUGGAGGAACACCGAUGGCGAAGGCAGCCCCCUGGGUCAAGAUUGACGCUCAUGUACGAAAGCGUGGGGAGCAAACAGG
rnacentral:rRNA from 1 species